rnacentral:lncRNA from 1 species
GGAAUUCACGUUGCGGAGCCGCCAUUGCCUGCUGCACUCCCUAGAGAAAGUCAUUGUGUGAUAAUGGAAAGGUCACUCGGUCUCUAAGAGUCUUUUUCAUGUGUAAAUAGGAGAGUUGGACCAGAGAAGCCGACUGCACGGACACUCGCCUGCCCCCCUCGUGGGGGCCCGGGAGCGCAGAGGGAAGAUGCCAGGGCCCACAGGAGGAGGAAUACGUUCCACAAACAAGGAAACAGUUCAUACCUACGUAAUUUCCCCCUGUCCUACGGGUACGCUGCAGAACUCGCUUCAAACCUAGGCUGUGCAUAUUUCCUAUGCCCCUCAUCUUUUCUCAGUAUUUCCCAGCUCACUCGCUUCUGGCGGGAUCGUGAAGUCCCAUCAUCUGCAUUGGGAAAUAAAGCAUUAAAAGAGCAGAUGAUGGCCCUGAGUUUUUUCCCAUAGCGACAGUGUAGCCGACCUAGCAAUAGAAUCAGAUCUGACUUGGAGCUGUCUUCUGGAAUUGAGGAAGGACGAGCCCCCUAUCUAGGCAACCCGGUGGGGGAAGUUCUGUUUUCUGAGCUUGCUGGGCUCCUGAAGGCCAUGGCGGGUUAAUAGUCUCUGUGUCUCCAGCUCAGAAGUUUGGGGUGCCCUAAUAGCGUAGUCAGUAACCAACAGCUUUUGUAUUAUGAACAGUUUCUAUUUUGACAAUUUCUCAAUCCCAUCUAGCAAAAUGAAAAAUAAGCUUUUCCUCUCCUUAGAACUUGAAAUUUUGUUUAUAUGCAUUAUGAGUAUUAGUGAAAAAUACGAAUUUCACUGCCUUGUUUUCUUGUUUGUUUGGGGUGGAGGCGUACGGAGGAUUGAACUCCGGGGCAGUCCACCCCAGAGCCACAUUCUCAGCCCCAUUUAAUAUUUUAUUUAGAAGCAAGGUCUCACUGAGUUGCUUAGCACCCCACUUUUGUGUGUGGGUGCUGGGGAUUGAACCCAGGGCCUUGUGCAUGUGAGGCAAGCACUUUACCUACCAACUGAGGUACAUCCCCA